rnacentral:rRNA from 1 species
GGGAGAGGUGGCCUGACAUACGCCUACCUAGACCGAGGACGGUCGAAGGGGCCAAAUUUACCGAAUUUCACAUUGAGGCGUCAGUCAUGAGACGCAAAAUUCUAAAGGAAGAGAAGAAAUCUUUUUAAUAACUGGAGGGAAGGUCUGGGGCCAGCAUCCGCGGUACUACGAGCUCCAGGGGGGUCUAUGAUGAUUGCUGCCAUCAGAAAGACCGUAUACGAAAUGAUUUACUUGUUCGAAAAGUAUUACCUCAGAUGAUGCCAAUAACAACUAUGUGAGUGCAAGAAAUAACUAGGGGCAGGGUUAUGGAGCAGCGAGAGGCGACAUUUGACGACUUGCUUGGAAGAAACAGAGACGAAUGCGCCUGCCUUGAGAAUUUGUGAUGAUCAAGGACGAAGGCUGGAGUAUCGAACACGAUUAAAUACCGUAGUAGUUCCAGCAGUAAACUAUGCCUACGCUAUCGAAUAAAAGUUUGGUAGACGAGAAAUCAUGAGUAGGGCUUUGGGGAGAGUACACGCGCAAGCGAUAAAUUUAAAGGAAAUUGACGGAAGAACACCACAAGGAGUGGAGUGUGCGGCUUAAUUUGACUCAACGCGGGACAGCUUACCAGAUCCGAGGACCAUAAGAGUGAGUACACGAUAGGUCUAAGAGUGGUGCAUGUCCGUUAUCGACGAGUGAAGUGAUUUUAUGGUUAAAUCUGACAAGUCGUGAGACCCUAAAUAUUAAUUAUUAUUUUUAAUAAAUCAGGUAUGAAAAUACAGGAAGGAUAGGACAAGAACAGGUCAGUGAUCCCCUUAGAUGGUUUGGAACUGCGCGCUCAUUACACUGGUUAUAAUAAUAAUAAAGAUAAGAAAAUAAAUAUACUCGAGAGGGAUUGAGCUCUGUAAAGUGCCCAUGAACGAUGAAUUGCUAGUAAUCGUAAAUUAUCAGUAAGAUACCAUGAAUAAGUCCCUGUUCUUUGAUCGCACCCGACGUCGUUAUCGAAGAUGGAAUUUCAUCCGAGCGAUCUUUAGCGAGUGAGUGUAUGUUUCUAGAUGUGAUACAAGUCGUAACAAGUUAACC